CAGGCCUAACACAUGCAAGUCGAGCGCGAAAGUUCUUCGGAAUGAGUAGAGCGGCGCACGGGUGAGUAACACGUGGAUAAUCUGCCCUCAGGCCCGGAAUAACCAAGGGAAACUUUGGCUAAUGCCGGAUGAGACCACACGAUGAAAAUCGUGCGGGAAAAGCAGGGGACCUCUUCGGAGGCCUUGCACCAGAGGAUGAGUCCGCGGCCCAUCAGCUAGUUGGCGGGGUAAGAGCCCACCAAGGCUAAGACGGGUAGCUGGUCUGAGAGGAUGAUCAGCCACACUGGAACUGAGACACGGUCCAGACUCCUACGGGAGGCAGCAGUGGGGAAUAUUGCGCAAUGGGGGAAACCCUGACGCAGCAACGCCGCGUGAGUGAUGAAGGUCCUCGGAUCGUAAAGCUCUGUCGGCAGGAGAGACGGUUGUUUGGGAUAAUACCCCAGACGAUUGACGGUACCUGCAAAGGAAGCACCGGCUAACUCUGUGCCAGCAGCCGCGGUAAU
rnacentral:rRNA from 1 species